rnacentral:rRNA from 1 species
AGUGAACGCUGGCGGCAGGCCUAACACAUGCAAGUCGAGCGGCAGCGCGUCCGACCACCCUCGGGUGGUCGGAUGGCGGCGAGCGGCGGACGGGUGAGGAAUGCAUCGGAAUCUGCCUCGUUGUGGGGGAUAACGUAGGGAAACUUACGCUAAUACCGCAUACGACCUACGGGUGAAAGUGGGGGACCUUCGGGCCUCACGCGAUGAGAUGAGCCGAUGCCGGAUUAGCUAGUUGGCGGGGUAAAGGGCCCACCAAGGCGACGAUCCGUAGCUGGUCUGAGAGGAUGAUCAGCCACACUGGAACUGAGACACGGUCCAGACUCCUACGGGAGGCAGCAGUGGGGAAUAUUGGACAAUGGGGGCAACCCUGAUCCAGCCAUGCCGCGUGUGUGAAGAAGGCCUCGG